rnacentral:rRNA from 1 species
GUUUCGAAUCAUUCACAAUGGGCGAAAGCCUGAUGAUGCAACGCCGCGUGGGGGAUGACGGCCUUCGGGUUGUAAACCCCUGUCGUCAAGGAGCAAAACGUUGGUUAAUAGCCAACCUUGAGUUAACUUGGAGAGGAAGCAGUGGCUAACUCCGUGCCAGCAGCCGCGGUAAUACGGAGACUGCGAGCGUUACUCGGAUUUACUGGGCGUAAAGGGUGCGUAGGCGGCCAAAUAUGUCAGGUGUGAAAGCCCGGGGCUUAACUCCGGAAUUGCGCCCGAAACUGUUUGGCUAGAGUAUUGGAGAGGUAAGCGGAAUUCCUAGUGUAGCGGUGAAAUGCGUAGAUAUUAGGAGGAACACCAAAGGCGAAGGCAGCUUACUGGACAAUUACUGACGCUGAGGCACGAAAGCGUGGGGAGCGAAAAGG